rnacentral:misc_RNA from 1 species
UUUCCGUAGGUGAACCUGCGGAAGGAUCAUUAUCGUACAAAAAGUGAGGGACAUGCUAGGGCUGUCGCUGACCAACAAGUCGUGCACGCACGAGUGUGUCCUCUUGCAUAAUACUCCAUCUCACCCUUUGUGCAUCACAGCGUGGGCACCCUCCGGGGUCAUCCCGGAGGGGGCCUGGCGUUUUCACACAAACCCACCUUUUAAAAGUGUAGAGUGACCACAUUGAUGCAAUAAAUAAAACUUUCAACAACGGAUCUCUUGGCUCUG